rnacentral:rRNA from 2 species
UGCAGUCGAGCGGACAGAUGGGAGCUUGCUCCCUGAUGUUAGCGGCGGACGGGUGAGUAACACGUGGGUAACCUGCCUGUAAGACUGGGAUAACUCCGGGAAACCGGGGCUAAUACCGGAUGGUUGUUUGAACCGCAUGGUUCAAACAUAAAAGGUGGCUUCGGCUACCACUUACAGAUGGACCCGCGGCGCAUUAGCUAGUUGGUGAGGUAACGGCUCACCAAGGCAACGAUGCGUAGCCGACCUGAGAGGGUGAUCGGCCACACUGGGACUGAGACACGGCCCAGACUCCUACGGGAGGCAGCAGUAGGGAAUCUUCCGCAAUGGACGAAAGUCUGACGGAGCAACGCCGCGUGAGUGAUGAAGGUUUUCGGAUCGUAAAGCUCUGUUGUUAGGGAAGAACAAGUACCGUUCGAAUAGGGCGGUACCUUGACGGUACCUAACCAGAAAGCCACGGCUAACUACGUGCCAGCAGCCGCGGUAAUACGUAGGUGGCAAGCGUUGUCCGGAAUUAUUGGGCGUAAAGGGCUCGCAGGCGGUUUCUUAAGUCUGAUGUGAAAGCCCCCGGCUCAACCGGGGAGGGUCAUUGGAAACUGGGGAACUUGAGUGCAGAAGAGGAGAGUGGAAUUCCACGUGUAGCGGUGAAAUGCGUAGAGAUGUGGAGGAACACCAGUGGCGAAGGCGACUCUCUGGUCUGUAACUGACGCUGAGGAGCGAAAGCGUGGGGAGCGAACAGGAUUAGAUACCCUGGUAGUCCACGCCGUAAACGAUGAGUGCUAAGUGUUAGGGGGUUUCCGCCCCUUAGUGCUGCAGCUAACGCAUUAAGCACUCCGCCUGGGGAGUACGGUCGCAAGACUGAAACUCAAAGGAAUUGACGGGGGCCCGCACAAGCGGUGGAGCAUGUGGUUUA